AUGCAAGUCGAACGAUGAAGCCUUUCGGGGUGGAUUAGUGGCGAACGGGUGAGUAACACGUGGGCAAUCUGCCCUUCACUCUGGGACAAGCCCUGGAAACGGGGUCUAAUACCGGAUAACACUCUGUCCCGCAUGGGACGGGGUUAAAAGCUCCGGCGGUGAAGGAUGAGCCCGCGGCCUAUCAGCUUGUUGGUGGGGUAAUGGCCUACCAAGGCGACGACGGGUAGCCGGCCUGAGAGGGCGACCGGCCACACUGGGACUGAGACACGGCCCAGACUCCUACGGGAGGCAGCAGUGGGGAAUAUUGCACAAUGGGCGAAAGCCUGAUGCAGCGACGCCGCGUGAGGGAUGACGGCCUUCGGGUUGUAAACCUCUUUCAGCAGGGAAGAAGCGAAAGUGACGGUACCUGCAGAAGAAGCGCCGGCUAACUACGUGCCAGCAGCCGCGGUAAUACGUAGGGCGCAAGCGUUGUCCGGAAUUAUUGGGCGUAAAGAGCUCGUAGGCGGCUUGUCACGUCGGAUGUGAAAGCCCGGGGCUUAACCCCGGGUCUGCAUUCGAUACGGGCUAGCUAGAGUGUGGUAGGGGAGAUCGGAAUUCCUGGUGUAGCGGUGAAAUGCGCAGAUAUCAGGAGGAACACCGGUGGCGAAGGCGGAUCUCUGGGCCAUUACUGACGCUGAGGAGCGAAAGCGUGGGGAGCGAACAGGAUUAGAUACCCUGGUAGUCCACGCCGUAAACGUUGGGAACUAGGUGUUGGCGACAUUCCACGUCGUCGGUGCCGCAGCUAACGCAUU
rnacentral:rRNA from 1 species